AUUGAACGCUGGCGGCAGGCCUAACACAUGCAAGUCGAGCGGAUGAAGGGAGCUUGCUCCUUGAUUCAGCGGCGGACGGGUGAGUAAUGCCUAGGAAUCUGCCUGGUAGUGGGGGACAACGUUUCGAAAGGAACGCUAAUACCGCAUACGUCCUACGGGGGAAAGCAGGGGACCUUCGGGCCUUGCGCUAUCAGAUGAGCCUAGGUCGGAUUAGCUAGUUGGUGGGGUAAUGGCUCACCAAGGCGACGAUCCGUAACUGGUCUGAGAGGAUGAUCAGUCACACUGGAACUGAGACACGGUCCAGACUCCUACGGGAGGCAGCAGUGGGGAAUAUUGGACAAUGGGCGAAAGCCUGAUCCAGCCAUGCCGCGUGUGUGAAGAAGGUCUUCGGAUUGUAAAGCACUUUAAGUUGGGAGGAAGGGCAGUAAGUUAACACCUUGCUGUUUUGACGUUACCGACAGAAUAAGCACCGGCUAACUCUGUGCCAGCCGCCGCCGUAAUAC
rnacentral:rRNA from 1 species